rnacentral:misc_RNA from 1 species
GAUGAAGAACGCAGCGAAAUGCGAUAAGUAAUGUGAAUUGCAGAAUUCAGUGAAUCAUCGAAUCUUUGAACGCACCUUGCGCCCUUUGGCUAUUCCGAAGGGCAUGCCUGUUUGAGUAUCAUGAACACCUCAACUCUCAUGGUUUGCCAUGAUGAGCUUGGACUCUGGGGGUCUUGCUGGCCUAUGGUCAGCUCCUCUCAAAUAAAUCAGCUUGCCAGUGUUUGGUGGCAUCACAGGUGCGAUAACUAUCUACGCUUGUGGUUUUCCAUCAGGUAACCUUCAGUGAUGGAGGUUCGCUGGAGCUCAUAAAUGUCCCUCCUCAGCGAGGACAGCUUUUUGAACGUUUGAUCUCAAAUCAGGUAGGACUACCCGCUGAACUUAAGCAUAUCAAUAAGCGGAGGA